GAGGUCUAGAAUUAACCUUAUGCCAUUUCAAUCUUUGAGGUAUGCCUCCUAUCCCAUCACGCUUUACAAAGAUAAGCACAUUACUAGUGGAUACCACCACACUGAGGCCACUCGCCUUGGUGGCAUCACAGUCUCCACUUAACCAGCUUCCUUUGGAAACCAAGGAUUAUGCAGGGUGAUCGAACUCAUACCUCACGGACAUAAGGUUAGCUAAAAAUUUAACUGGAUGAGGUCUAGAAUUGCUUUUAUACCAGUUCAGCCUUCAAGUACAUGUAAAUAUAAGGUCAUUCCUUCGUCAAUUUAAUGAAGAAAGGAGAGCAGCUGGAAGACUGACAGCACAAAAAAACUAAAGAGAUUCAAUCCAAAGAAGUGUGAUUCCCGGAGAAGAACUUUAUUACGUAUUUUUAUCCUUCCUCACUUCACGCUAUGUCACCCAUUACAUUUGACAUUAAUAUAUUACAUGCUGCCUGGGAAUUGAGUGAUGCGUGCUAUGGCAGGUAGGCAAUUUGUAGCUAUAGAUAGGAGCUACCACUAUCAGUUUGCCAGGUAUGACAUGUAUAAGGCGGCUGAGAAACGUAAGUCCAAAGUCACCAUUUCGGAAUGGAUUUAGAUUUCCUGGCUUUUGAUUCUUGCUGUUCUGCUAGGAACAUAUGUUUUCCUGUCUGGCCAAUAUUUGGUAACAUGCGGUCCUUUCUCAAAGCUUUCAGGUCCGAGAACCCUGACACUUUCAUCCACGACUUAGUGAAAAGGUAUGGCCGACCUGGUAUCUACAAGACCUACUUAUUUGGGAGUCCAAGCAUCACUAUUUCUAUUCCGGAAACCUGUAGGAAAGCCUUGGAAAGAUGAUGAACCAUUUGGACAUAUAUAAAAGGUGUUUUCUUUCUUUCCUUCUUUUCAUAUUUUUCUAUCAAGUCAUUUCCAAGGUGUCCUGGAUGAGAGCAGAGACAAGAGCCAAAUGAAUGACCCAAAUGAAAAGAGAGGAAUGGUUGAUCUACCCAUAGAAGUUGAAGAUGAGGAUGGCCAGAAGUGGCAGGAUGAGGAUUGAAUCCAUCUUACUGGUCGUCUUGUUGUUAGCUGAUGAUGAACCCUCAGCCCAUGCAGCCAUGUGCGCAAUCAUCUAUCUGCAUGUAGACCAUCCAGAAAUGUUGGAAAAGGCUAAGGUGGGAUUACAGCAAAUUAAUCACCCUGAAGCAAAACAAGAAGAGAAAUGAACAAGGCUCUUAUGGUUUAA